rnacentral:rRNA from 1 species
CGGCGGCAGCCUACACAUGCAAGUCGAGCGGUAACAGGGGUAGCUUGCUACCCGCUGACGAGCGGCGGACGGGUGAGUAAUGCAUAGGAAUCUACCCGGUAGUGGGGGAUAACCUGGGGAAACCCAGGCUAAUACCGCAUACGUCCUACGGGAGAAAGGGGGCUUCGGCUCCCGCUAUCGGAUGAGCCUAUGCCGGAUUAGCUGGUUGGUGAGGUAAUGGCUCACCAAGGCGACGAUCCGUAGCUGGUCUGAGAGGAUGAUCAGCCACAUCGGGACUGAGACACGGCCCGAACUCCUACGGGAGGCAGCAGUGGGGAAUAUUGGACAAUGGGCGCAAGCCUGAUCCAGCCAUGCCGCGUGUGUGAAGAAGGCCUUCGGGUUGUAAAGCACUUUCAGCGAGGAAGAACGCCUGGCGGUUAAUACCCGCCAGGAAAGACAUCACUCGCAGAAGAAGCACCGGCUAACUCCGUGCCAGCAGCCGCGGUAAUACGGAGGGUGCAAGCGUUAAUCGGAAUUACUGGGCGUAAAGCGCGCGUAGGUGGCUUGAUAAGCCGGUUGUGAAAGCCCCGGGCUCAACCUGGGAACGGCAUCCGGAACUGU